rnacentral:rRNA from 1 species
UACUCCUACGGGAGGCAGCAGUGGGGAAUCUUGGACAAUGGGCGCAAGCCUGAUCCAGCCAUGCCGCGUGAGUGAUGAAGGCCCUAGGGUUGUAAAACUCUUUCGUGGGGGACGAUAAUGACGGUACCCCAAGAAGAAGCUCCGGCUAACUUCGUGCCAGCAGCCGCGGUAAU